UCGGACAUUCCCGAUUUUUUGCCUCUCGCUGACAGCAUCCAAAAUAUGCAAUAAGAUGUCAUGGGUGCAAAGGUUUUGUUCGCAAACUUCAUAGCAGGGCAGACUACUCCUUUUCUGGUUGCAAUGCAGAUUGUUCCACCAGACUCUGCAAGCCCAUGUUUACAGACAACCAAGAUCGCCUUUGUAGUCGUACCUAAAUGCAUGUGCUUCAAUUUAAAUUUUGAUAUAUAGACCAGCCAAUGUGUAUAUGGUGUAAAAGGAUGCAACUUUAAGUAUUAUUUGAUAUUUGUAUGUGACUUGUUGGAGAGGAUUUUUUGCUGAAUAGAUGAUUUUAAUAAAAUACUUAUGUAUAUCUUUCAAAGUGUUUUUUUUUUAUAUGGUUUUGUUCAAGUUAAUGGUCAAACACACUUGAUGUUGUGUUAAUGUAUGAUACAUGUAUAAUGAUUAGAUUGAUAUUUUAUUUGAAAAGACAAAUAUUUAUUUUCAUGGUAAAAUGUCGUGAAUUUUGAGCGUUGAAAAAAGGUCGUCGCGCGCAAAAUCCCCCAUGGGGAUUUUCAAAAGUUGGCAUGUAUGAAUCUCAUAACUCCCACAUGGAAUACAAAAUAGAUAGUUGGGCAAACACGGACCCAUGUACGCACCAGAGGUGUGAUCAGGUAUCUAGGAGGAGUAAGUAUCCCCUGUCGACUGGUCACACCC